rnacentral:rRNA from 1 species
GAUGAACGCUAGCUACAGGCUUAACACAUGCAAGUCGAGGGGAAACGACAUCGAAAGCUUGCUUUUGAUGGGCGUCGACCGGCGCACGGGUGAGUAACGCGUAUCCAACCUGCCCAUCACUUGGGAAUAACCUUGCGAAAGUAAGACUAAUACCCAAUGACAUCCCACGAAGACAUCUGAAUGGGAUUAAAGAUUUAUCGGUGAUGGAUGGGGAUGCGUCUGAUUAGCUUGUUGGCGGGGUAACGGCCCACCAAGGCAACGAUCAGUAGGGGUUCUGAGAGGAAGGUCCCCCACAUUGGAACUGAGACACGGUCCAAACGCCUACGGGAGGCAGCAGUGAGGAAUAGUGGUCAAGGGGCGAGAGCCUGAACCAGCCAAGUAGCGUGCAGGAUGACGGCCCUAUGGGUUGUAAACUGCUUUUAUAAGGGAAUAAAGUGGGUCUCGGGAGACUUUUUGCAUGUACCUUAUGAAUAAGGACCGGCUAAUUCCGUG